UGCUAGUAGGUUAUCUGUAUUAUCUGCCGACACCUCUUGUUUGGUAUAUCACUACAGAUACUUAAGAGUCAAACUGCAGUUUUGUACGUAUAACCAUACAGGUACUUGUGUAUUACAGCUGGAGGGACAAAUUGUUAAAGUGCCGAAGGGAGAGGCUUCUAGCGUCAGGAAAAUGCAAAGACCCAUAACUCUGUCAUUAUUUAUGAAUGUGUAAAUUUCUUGCUUUCACAACGAGAGGAAAUGGAAAACCCCAUUUAGUAUAUAUCAUGCUUUCAAGGAAACAAAGCUGUUCAUAUGAGGGAUUACUUCAAGAAAAUCCAUAGUCCCAAGUGUUUUCCACGUUGCAGUUUUCGGGUUGUAACUAUAGAAUGUCCCUUUCUCCGAGACAAUCGACAAGUCUGCAUACCAGAGUACUAGCAAACCAGUCUUUGUAAACGCAACAGAUCCUGUCGACGGCGGAAGUGCAUGUCAGUGAACUUCUUAUCAAGUGAUAAGAGAUUUUGCCAAGUUUUACAAACACUUUUGCAUUCUAAGAUUGUUUCCGCUGGUACUCGGG